rnacentral:lncRNA from 1 species
CACGUGCCAGUCGCCCUCAAAGGGGCUUACAGCACAUCUUAAAAGAGAGGAGAAUUAGUAGCAAUUGCAUGUUAUGGUGCAUCCGAGUCCCCACAUAAAGUUGCAUGGGAGAAGGGAUAAGGGAUAGACAUGGUGCCCACAUCAGUAUUUAGGGAGGGGCAGAUGGCAGUUAGGGAAGGCCAGUGCUACUCCUGCAUCUGUCAUACUUAGCUAGGUUUCCCUCUAGGAUAGGGAUCAGCUCCCAUAUGUGUCUGUGUUCCUGGCACCCAUCAUAGUGCCUGGCACAGAGCAGGUGUUCAGGGAGCAUCAGGUGAAGUAGGGAACAUACAAAUGUCUUGGUGGAAGGGAAGCACUCCCAUUUAAUUUACUGUAAUUUACUGAGAAGGCUUUUGCUAUAAUUAUUUGUGGCUUCUUUGCAAAGUGGAAAUAAUAAUAAUACUACCACGAUCUUUGUAACUCAAAGGGGACCAAAAAAAAGAAAAAAAGAAGAAGAAGAAGAAAAAGAAGAAAGUAUUGUCACUGUUCAGCCUUUUCAAGAUGAGUCACCCAGCAGAUAUGCUGACUCUAGGUGACCUCUACCGGCAGCAUAUCCCCCAACAGAAGGAGACUCCCAGGCUUGGCAUUAAUACCUGCCAGGCACUGAGGACAUAAAAAUGAACAUGCCAUAACUUAGUCUUCAAGGUGUGCAGCUCAGCAAAGGAUGUGGAGAUACAGAGAAACAUCUCAGGUUCCUCUUAGAAGGGAAUGCCAAGUUCCCAUCCCUUUAGAAGAGAUUGGGUCCACGCAAAACUCAGGGAUCAAGUUGUUGGAUUUUUUACCCCGAAUGAGAGAAGUUUCAGCUGCUUUAAUGGCCAGUUUCUACAAACUUACUUGGGUUCACCAUCCAUCCACCCUCUUCCACCUUCUGAUGCCAGGGACACAUGAUGGGCCAGCAUUGACUAUGAUAAGAAGGUUUUUCUCUGGAUUUCCCUAUCUCUAGUCUGACAUCAGGCUCUGACACUGAUGCUCCUGGAUCAGAUGCCUUCUAAAGCUGUAGAAAUGGAAGGCUGUGGAAAGCUCUCUUGGGGAACGUAGAAUGCAACAGCCAUUGAAGAGGCUGGGUGUGGCAGACCAAAGCUUCUGAAGAAAAGGAAGAAGCGAUGCCAUUGGGAUCCACUAGCAG